GACGAACGCUGGCGGCGUGCUUAACACAUGCAAGUCGAACGGAAAGGCCCUGCUUUUGUGGGGUGCUCGAGUGGCGAACGGGUGAGUAACACGUGAGUAACCUGCCCUUGACUUUGGGAUAACUUCAGGAAACUGGGGCUAAUACCGGAUAGGAGCUCCUGCUGCAUGGUGGGGGUUGGAAAGUUUCGGCGGUUGGGGAUGGACUCGCGGCUUAUCAGCUUGUUGGUGGGGUAGUGGCUUACCAAGGCUUUGACGGGUAGCCGGCCUGAGAGGGUGACCGGCCACAUUGGGACUGAGAGACGGCCCAGACUCCUACGGGAGGCAGCAGUGGGGAAUAUUGCACAAGGGGCGGAAGCCUGAUGCAGCAACGCCGCGUGCGGGAUAACGGCCUUCGGGUUGUAAACCGCUUUCGCCUGUGACGAAGCGUGAGUGACGGUAAUGGGUAAAGAAGCACCGGCUAACUACGUG
rnacentral:rRNA from 1 species